rnacentral:lncRNA from 1 species
UUUUUUUUUUUUGGUUUAUGUCUUGUUUUAGUUGGGUAAAUAUGCUUUAUGUUUUAUGCUUUUGCCGUUUUUAAUUUAAUUAGACGUCAAGCUUGCUGCUAUUUCUGUAAGUAAUUUUGCUUAUGUAUAAAGUAAUUGUGGGGCUUGUCGUUUGGGAAAUCAAUUUUACUAAAGUUGUUAUCGUUAUUGGGUAAUUGAGGUUGUUUAUGACAUUUUUUUUCAAAAAGGUUUAAUCAGGUAUCAAGAUUGAAUAAAAAUGUGAUUUGUAUUUCCUAAUAGUUUUUUUUGUUCUUUUUAUUGGUUUUUAUUCUUCCGUUAAUUAAAUUGGGCAUCAAAAUGAUAAAUAUUGGAUUUUUAAACUUUGCGGACGUCGGACUAUCUUUGGUGAAGGAGAAACAUAUGAACCAAACAAUUUGAUUGUUCCUGUGCAAUUUGGUUGUUAUGCUUUUGUUCGUCUGCCAAUGCCAAGGAGUUGAUGUGAAUAGUUUGGAGGUCUAUUUGUGUUGAGAUGUGUCUUCCUGUAUAAAAAUUUGUUGACGGUCAGCUGUUACUGUUUGAAGAGCUGAUGAAUUAUUUCUCGUGCUACCUUUAUGGAUUUUGUCCUAAGAAUCAACAAUGAUGUGAAGUGGUGUCAAUGGUGAUAUUUGUCUUCGCUUUUGCAUCCUAUGCAUAUAUAUAUCAUGGAAUUCUGUGAGCUAGAAUAGACGAGAUCUGCCCUUGUUUAGCUGAUUUGAUCUUGUGUCAAUACUUAUAGAGGACAACACAUGAAUAAAUAUGAUCACUUUUCUUGUAUUAGUCGAAUUCUAGUAUGAUGCGGUGAUGUUGCACCAUCAAAUUAAUGUGCAAGUUUGGAUGCUUUAUAUCUUCAUGGAUUAUGAGUUUUGUUUGUUUUAUAUGCAGAUACCUCUGCAAUCAAUACAUCCGUUGAAAUGGGAUUUUGGUUUGCCAGAUGAUUUUGACAAGAAUUUAGUCAAAAGGUUCCCAGAUCAUUUUCAGAUUGUUAAAGGAACAAAUGGAUUGGCUUGUUUGAAGCUUGUUCAGUGGCGAGAAGAAUUUGCUGUAUCUGAGCUGCAAAAGAGCAAUGAGAAGAGAGGAUUAGAAAGUGAUAAUGGUGCUGAUGGAAGAAAUGCUUAUAAGUAUCGGGAAUUCAAGAGGGGAAAAUCAGCUUUAGAGUUCGCAAUGAGUUUUCCCAGAGGCUAUGGAGCUCAAAAGAAGGUGAAGGCAUGGAUGGAGGAAUUUCAAAAGCUACCCUACAUCUCUCCUUAUGAGGAUUCCAGGAGGAUUGACCCAAAUAGUGAACUUGUGGAGAAGAGAGUUGUUGGAGUGCUCCAUGAAUUUUUGAGCUUGACUAUUUACAAGAAGACAAAGAGGAAUUACUUGAGGUCCUUGAGAGAGGAGUUAAUUCUUCCCCACAGGUUUACUCGACUAUUUACUAGGUACCCAGGGAUAUUUUACUUAUCGCUAAAAUGUAAGACAACUACUGUUGCACUGAGAGAGGGGUACCGCAGGGGAAGACUAGCGGAACGACAUCCUAUUGCUUGACACAGGGAUAAGUUUCAUCAUGUAAUGAGAACUGGGUUGGUAUACCGAUGUAAAGGGAUUGAAGUUCUACCUCAGCUGGACAGUUUGAUUGAUGAAGCCGAAGAGGACAAAGUUGAAGGUCAAAGCGAAGAAGAAGAGAUUGAAACAAGUGAUGAAUGCUAUGAAGCUGGUACUUCGGAGGUGGAGAGUGCGUCUGAUGAGGAUUAGCAUUGAGUUGUCUGAAUGACCCCUUUUUUUUGUCGGGUUGGGCUAAGAGAUAUUGAGCUCUAUAGGUAGAUAGGUCCUGCUGUGUAACAUUCUAGAUCUGUAUUUCAGUAUUCUUGCUUGAUGCAUGGUCUGGUAUACAAGUGUUACAGAUGGCUUCAUUGCUCAUUCAAAGCGAGAAUAGUAUUUAUUUUUGUAAUUGGCUUACAGAUAUGUUUGCUAAGAUUUUCAUGUUUAGCAUUGCCAUUUAGUAGAGAGCCAGCAACUGGGAUGCAGCAAUUGCUUGGCUUACUUGAACUAAAGACUUGAUGCUGUAUAACAUUUUACCUGAGGAAAUGAAAAAACAUGGAAAUGUGUUGUUUUGAGAUUUUCGUCAUGUGUGCAUGUGAUGUGUUAGACUUUCACCCGGAUUCCCAGACAGUUUCAUCCUUUCCUUGAGGAGCUCCAAGACUAUGCUGCAGUCUCCCAAUUACCAGACAUACAUCUCACUUGCAAUGGAGCUUUCUCGUGAAAAUACAUUUAUUUCUGUGUAUUCAUGGUGCCUUGCAUUAAGAGCCAGGGAAGCUGUUUCUCCCUUCUGUAUCUUAUCAAAACUCCAGGUUCUACCUCGCUAGUUGUGGCUGUCAUAGAUCGGAUGGUAUCAACCUGGCAGUUUGAUGGCUUAAUUAUUUUUCUUUCACUUUGACAAAAAGAAAGAAAAGCACUGGUUUGACAAAACGUUCUCCAGCAUAAUUGUUCAAUAGUGAUGCGAAAAUGGACAAAUAGUUGCACCCAGCAUUACCAAAGUUGUGGUAAGGACUUGCUAAAAAAGUACUAUAGUUGUACAUAUUUUAAUAAUCACAUAAAAUUAUACCUACUUUAAUAAGAAUUGCAAGAAAAUGAAUGGUAAAGUAUCUUUGAUGCAAUUGUAUGUAAUUGUCUUGUUCAUCUUUUCUACUAACAAAACAAAAAUACAAUUUGUGACUUACAACCACGCUUUCAUUUUUAUCAGCCUAUUAUAAAAAUAAGAAAAAACCUUUUCCCGAACCAAGUGCAUUUGUUGAGCCUGUAUAUAACAAGCCAAAUCCAAGUUAAAAAUUGUGAAAUUUCUGUGUUUUUUACUCUUCUGGAAAUGAUAGACAUAUGAAGUUCGUUGUCUCGAAAUAAUCUAGACGAAAUUUUCAACGAAAAUCAUCGUUGAAACGAAGAGUGUGACAUCCAAGCUCCUCAUCUUUGGAUUGGCAACACAUUACUAAUGGAAUGGAAUUGUUUGGAAGGUUGUUGACUACACGAACGUAAUGCCCCUCGAUCGAAGCUAUUACAUGGAUAGUUUCGAAAAAGUAAAAUGAUAAGAUGACUAGAUAUAGAAGGUUUUUCAGUUUGGUCUAUGUCAUUUUGCUCAGUGAAAUUUAACUCUUUGAAUCAGAAAACGCCCUGGAGCUACAUGCAAGAUGGUAAUGUUGUUCCUUUUUUUUUCCUUUUCGCUUAGAGAAAAAACGUUGGAGUGGUUCACUGGGGUUGAAAUUUUAACUUUUGUUGGUUAACGCUAAUUUUAAUAUGAAUGCGGAUAAAGGAUUUGGAAUCACUCAAAAUUUUGGGUAAUCGCUAAUGAGCAUGCAUUGAUUCCAGCCGCAUGGUAAAUAAAUGUCCAUUUUGUGCAAAUAUGGGAAGUAGUUCACAUAAUAAUUAACCAAUUAUCUUUUAUCUCUUUAUUCAACUUCAACAACAUCCCUCUCUCACUCUUAUUAUUUUCUUCCCCUCUUCUUCUGGGAUCUUGUUUCUUUGAAAAUUAAAGCAAAAGUGUCUAUUGAAGGAAACAAUAUGAUGCUGGUCUGUCUAAUGGGUGCUCAAACUCAUUAGGAUAUGUUUUAGAUGUUAGAAUUUUUGAAAAGGUAAAAUUAAUUAGGAAAAGUCUAUAAAUAUGAGAGAGGAUAAUAGUUGUUAGUAUGUGUAUGUGUGUAAUGGAUUCGGUGAAAUUUAAAUGUGUUAACGAGUGCUUAUUGGACACCCGUUAGAAAAAUCGUACGAUGCACACUAAUUAAUUAAUAUGAUUAAAAGAAUAUCAAAAUGAAAACUCGUUAUUCCAAGUGGGAUACAGGGCAGGGGACCGUCCCUGGACAGUUCACGACCAAGGUUUGGCCAAAAAAAAUUAUACAGUCCAGAUUUCAUCUUGUAUCUCGAUUUUAACAACAUGUGUGGGACCUACAAAAUUUUGUUCUAAAAUUAUAUGUUGUUAAAAAUAAGUUACACCAUGUGCAAACAAAGCUAUGUCGUGUGCAAAAUGCAUAUAACUGUCAGGAACGGUUGCAGAAGGUCAUUAUCAUAAACAAGAUCCUCGGUUUUCGAUUGACAACCACUACUAAUGGAAUAGAUUUGUUGAGAAGCCUAUGAUUGGCCGAGCUAAUUAAUUUUGGCUCCAAACAUCUACAAGGCCAAUUUCGGAAAAAAGUAAGGUGGUGUAAUAAACUAUAGCAUUAAUUUUUAUUUUAGUCACUAAAUUUUAAAGUAGGACAAUUUAGUCAUCAAAGUACGAAAAUAGUCCUCCUUUAAAAUCUGUCUUACUUUAAUCCCUAAGGUACAAAAUUUGUCCUAUUUAAUCUCUAAAAUAUUAAAAACCAGUCUCACUUUUAUCUCCAAUGUAUAAAAUUUAUCCUACUUUAAUUCCUAGGUACAAAAUAUAUCCCGCUUAAUUAUAAAUUUUAUUUGACUUCUGCUAACAAUUUUACUUGUCAAAAAAAUUUUCAUAUUUUGGGCACUGAAAUAUCCUAUUUUGAAGUUUAGAAAACGAAAUAAAAAUACAAGUAUAAUUGAAAGAGUGCAAAGUGGAAUUAACUCUAGAUAGUAAGACAUGUACACUAGAAAAAACCCUCCAUCAUUUUUUUUAGGCAAACAUAAAAAAAAAAAAAAAAGAACUGUCCAUCAUUCAUGGUAUAACUUAUCUUGAUUUUGAUCGAAAUGAUACAUGCCAAGCUUCCUCCUCCUACGUUCUCGCCAAGGAUUGACUGUUGAUGUUGAUUAAUCACAUAAAUAUGGCGCAUUUACUCUUAUAGCUGUCAAUAAAUGUUAGUUGCCAAUCAAGGCAACAUUUCAAGUCCUUUAAUUACAGAAGGUUUGGCGAAAUAAAUCAUUUGGCUCACAGGUGUUGUGACUGUUGUCAACGUUCUUUACUAAUAUGAAUAGGACUGCAAAUAAUGGAACAAUUUUGGUAGAGAAAUGUUAUAGUAAGCAUUAAUUAGUAUACCAAAAAAAAAAAAGCUCCUGAUGUUAUCUUUCUUUUCUUAUCUUCUUUAUUCCAUCCAGUUUUUUUUUUUAGGCUUAUAUAUGAAUUUCUUAACUUUGUAAAGUUUUUGUAGGCAUAUCUAGCCUAAACUAGCCUACUCCUACUGGGGGGAGCCUACUCCAGAGAGUGGCUCAACUAAAUCGGAGAAAUUUGAUAGGAACUAAAUUACUAUCAGACCAGACGGAUGCACCCCACUCUCGUAUGAAUUUAUAACAAGCCUCGUAGAGAGGCAUAUUAAUAGGAGGUAAGAUUUGAACCCUUGACCUUCUACCUCACAAUUAAUGUGGUGGCCAACUCCUCCGGAGGGAUUUGGUUAACUUUGUAAAUUUAGUUCGACACACAAAUUCCUCUAGCAAGCCUUGUUUGAAAGGUGAGUUUUUUUAGAGUUUAUCUAAAAUUUUACUGUGACUUGCUGUAGAAGUUUUUUUAAAAUUUUUUGAAAUGUGUAGAUUUUUAAAUAUUUUGAAGUGUAUAAUUUAAAAAUUUUGAGAAAUUUUUUGAGAUUAUUAUAACUAAAGUUUUUAAAAAAAACUUAUAGCGACAAACUUGGCAAAAAAACUUAACUUCCAAACAAGGCCAAAACAUGCGCAGGAGGGAUUCAGUUUCCAGCAGGCGGCAGCCAAUUUAAGGGAGAUAAAAAAAACUUAUAGCGACAAACUUGGCAAAAAAACUUAACUUCCAAACAAGGCCAAAACAUGCGCAGGAGGGAUUCAGUUUCCAGCAGGCGGCAGCCAAUUUAAGGGAGAUACUGUCCGCUAAUAAAUAAAUAUAUAUAUGCAAUAAAUAAAAUCUUCACAAAUCAUAGAGUAAUAUAUGUGUACAGUGGGGACUUGUACGCCCGCAACAUCAUCUAGAAGCCACAUAUUGCACUGAUCUUGAGUUCCAGACAUCCCUUUGGUCCCUAAAAGACCCUUGAAUCAUUUUUGACUCUUCCGCAGCACAUCACAGGCCUUGUAAGGAGCCAAAAGUUUCCCCCAACAAAGUCCAUGUAAUUAGCUCCUCGCCAAGUUCCAUAAAAUUCCAAAACUUGAAAAAAAUACAUUGAUCGGUGACAGAAAAUCCCAGCCAGAUUUUCAAGAUUCAAAUUACCAUGCUAACAAUCUCUAAGCCAGAUCAGUUCCUCCAUAAUGUACAAAGAGACACCAAUAUCUUUAACCUUCCAAUGGUUAUACUACAAAACAAAAGGCACUUAUCAGGGGCAGGGAUUUGGGAACCUU